CCUACGGGCGGCAGCAGUGAGGGAUAUUGGUCAAUGGGGGAAACCCUGAACCAGCAACGCCGCGUGAGGGAAGACGGUUUUCUGAUUUUAAACCUCUGUCCUCUGUGAAGUUAAUUACGGUAGCAGAGGAGUAAUCUCCGGCUAACUACGUUCCAGCAGCCGCGGUAAUACGUAGGGAGCAAGCGUUGUCCGGAUUUACUGGGUGUAAAGGGUGCGUAGGCGGCCUUGCAAGUCAGAAGUGAAAUCCAUGGGCUUAACCCGUGAACUGCAUUUGAAACUGUAGGGCUGGAGUGAAGUAGAGGCAGGCGGAAUUCCCGGUGUAGCGGUGAAAUGCGUAGAGAUCGGGAGGAACACCAGUGGCGAAGGCGGCCUGCUGGGCUUUAACUGACGCUGAGGCACGAAAGCGUGGGUAGCAAACAGGAUUAGAUACCCUUGUAGUC
rnacentral:rRNA from 1 species